ACUGCUUUAUACUGUGAAACUGCGAAUGGCUCAUUAAAUCAGUUAUAGUUUAUUUGAUGGUACCUUACUACUCGGAUAACCGUAGUAAUUCUAGAGCUAAUACGUGCGCAAAUCCCGACUUCCGGAAGGGACGUAUUUAUUAGAUAAAAGG
rnacentral:rRNA from 1 species